GUGGUCACUUCAGAAGCACAUAUAUUAAAGUUGUAAUGAUACAGAGAAGAUUAGCAUGGUCCCUGCACAAGGAUGACAUGCACGUUUGUGAAGUUUUCAUAUUUUUC